rnacentral:misc_RNA from 1 species
AACAAGGCGUACCUGCGGACCUGCGGAAGGAUCAUUACACAAUACAAUAUGAAGGCUGUCCGCAGCUGGAGUAUUUUAUUACCCUUGUCUUUUGCGCACUUGUUGUUUCCUGGGCGGGUUCGCUCGCCACCAGGACCACCAAAUAAACCUUUUUUAUGCAGUUGCAAUCAGCGUCAGUACAAACAAUGUAAAUCAUUUACAACUUUUAGCAACGGAUCU